UGGAUCUCUAAUACAAACUGUUAUUCAGUGUUUCUUGCGGUUUGGGUGGUAUUUUUUUGGUUUUGUAUUAAACAUUGUUAUUUUGGUUAUGUUAAGUAUAAAAAAAUCAGAAUUCCCACUGAAACUUAGGAUUGACAUUCUUUGUUUAGCCACUUUAAACUUUGAAGUGAGAUGAAGAAAAAGAAGGGUGGAACAUAAGCUAGGAAAAAGACAUAUUUUAAUGUAACCUUGCAUGGUAAAUGAAGGGAAGAGGAAUCUAAGACUUAGUUUUGGAAGGGUGAUUGUAGCUCUUUCUGAAGAUGCGUGAAGCCAUAGAAAAAAAUAAGGAAAAAAAAAAUGUAGAGAAUUUAA